rnacentral:rRNA from 1 species
UACGAAGGGGGCUAGCGUUGCUCGGAAUCACUGGGCGUAAAGGGUGCGUAGGCGGGUUUUUAAGUCCGGGGUGAAAUCCCGGAGCUCAACUCCGGAACUGCCUUUGAUACUGAGGGUCUUGAGUCCGGGAGAGGUGAGUGGAACUGCGAGUGUAGAGGUGAAAUUCGUAGAUAUUCGCAAGAACACCAGUGGCGAAGGCGGCUCACUGGCCCGGUACUGACGCUGAGGUGCGAAAGCGUGGGGAGCAAACAGG